rnacentral:rRNA from 1 species
GACAGAGGUGGCAAACGUUGUUCGGAAUUACUGGGCGUAAAGCGCGUGUAGGCGGCUAUGCAAGUCGGAUGUGAAAGCCUCGUCGCUACACGGGGAAGUGCACCCGAAACUGCAAAGCUAGAGUCUCGGAGAGGAUCGUGGAAUUCUCGGUGUAGAGGUGAAAUUCGUAGAUAUCGGGAGGAACACCAGUGGCGAAGGCGGCACUCUGGCCAGUACUGACGCUGAGGAGCGAAAGCGUGGGAGCGAACAGG